AGUUGGAUGCUUAACUGACUGAGCCACCUAGGCGCCCCUAAAUAUCAUGGAACAAUUUUUUCAACUUCUUGAUGUGAAUCCUGAACAUCAAUAUCUUCAUCAGUGCCAAGAUCACUGUGUGACUUCAUUACUUCUGUAGCUCUAAGCACACACUCUCUUUUAAAAUUUUAUUCAUUUAUUUAUUUACUUAUUUAUUUGUUUUUUGUCUGUUUGUUUUUGCGAGAUGGCCCUUGUAAAACUGUGUAUGACAUUGUUAUUGAGAACAUAUGCCCAAGCAUACACAUCAUCCUUUGUAGGGCAUUUGGACAUUUUUCUGCCAUUCACCCUGCAGUUGUAUCUAUGUGAUCUGCAUGAUGUAAGCCUUUACCGUAUUUCUUUGUAAAGUUUGUAAAAAAAAAAAAGUGUGAUGAAGUUAAAGUCACUCACACAAGAAUUGUUACUAAAUAUGAAAGCAGCCGUGAAAAUUCUGCCUCCAUAUGUAUAUAGGUAUGUGUGUGCAGGUACAUAUAGAUGUAUGAAUUCUUCAGAUGAACCAUGUAAACCUACCACACACUAAUGACACUUCAUAUAUUUUCUGGCCUUCA